UUACCAAGUUAUCAACAUUCAACAAUAAAUCAAUAACCAGCAUCCAGCAAUAAACUGAACAAUAAAUCAAUAACCAGCAUCUAGCAAUACCAAAUUAUCAACAAUAAACUAAACAAUACACUGAUCUCAAUAAACUGAACAAUAAUUCAAUAACCAGUAAUACCAAGUAGCAACAAAGUUACCAACUUUACCAAUAAUUCAAUACCAACUUUACCUAACAAGCACUCAAACAGCAAGUAGCAACAAAUCAACAAUGCACCAGUAAACAGCAAAUGGUAAACAUUACCUGAAUCGGUGGCUCGAGAUCCAUAUUGACUUAGGAGGAAGGCUGAGUGGGAGACUGGGAGGUACUAGGUUGAACUGAUGAUCGUGGCCAGAACCCAGAAACGCUGCUGGGUGGUGGCAUCUCAACUGCGACGGCGUGGUGCUGUUCUGCCCUGUUGAGUCAGUGGGUGGCGUGCUGGCCUGAUGUGAGACGGCUUCGUGUUGGGAUCUCUGCUCUGUUCGCGUCUCCACGAAGUGGAAGGCUUCGGCAUUGGGAUUUGGAGGAAGGCUUCGCGGUGGUGGGACUUGGGAGGAACGUGGGUGCCGCAGGUGUGGCUGGGUGCGCAGGUGUGGAGAUUUGGAGAAGAGAGAGCGACUGAGUACUGAGCUAGGUUAGGGAUUGGGGAU